GAUGCGGAGCGAGUCGUAGCCGAUGAAGGGCUUCCAGGUCUUCUUGUCCUCCUUGUAGAACCAGCGUACCUCCUCCGGGCCCAGCUCCGUCACUACCUCAUAGCGGUGCCGGGCCGCCGGGCCGCCAAGCCGGAUCAUCUUCUCAGGUAAUAUGAUCCUGACCAGAGGGAGAUGGGUUGGGGCAUCUAUUCUAGUCCCCACCUGCCAGAAUAGGUGUCAGGUGGCUCCUCACCACUCUACAUCAUUAGUGUGUACAAUGGACACAGCAUUAUCUGAACUUCCAUGGCUCUAUGUAAAGCAUUCCAUUGUAUUUUAAUAAUUACGCAAGACAAGGCCUCUUUCACAUAAGGCAAAUAAGUGUGAUUGAUUCAGACUUCUGGCAUUACUGGGCCAUGCUGCCGCAAGAAACAGGUGCAUGUGGAAUCAAGCCUGACGGAGUUAUUGGUGUGCAGAAAAAAAAAAAGAAUCCAGGAACCCAUGAGAUUCUUUGGUGCCUACAAAUUCUGAUCUCCUUUAAAGGUCAUGAAAACUGUGAGAACCCCAUUAGAGCUAAAUGAGUUUUAAGGGUCUGAUUUUUUCUCAUCUGUAAUAUGAGGAAAUUUGUUACCAGUGGCAAAUCUGUACACAUCUGCAGCAACCUCAAGUCUUGUCUCCUCAGAAGAAAGAAUUGAACUGAGGGGCAUAAGGCAGAAGGAGAGAC
rnacentral:lncRNA from 10 species